UGGGCACUUGAUAAACUUAGGGAUCGCAUGACAGACGAGCCAGAAAAUUUCGUUAUCACUUCUGGUGGCAUCUGCAAAGGCAUUUCGAACGUGCGCGCAACCCCAACUGAUAAACGUAUUUAAUAUAGUAUAUGUAUAACGAUAUCCUUGAAUCAGUGAUCUCGACCGCGCAUACAAGAGGAUUCGGAGGCUAAGGAAUAUACAUACGUAUAGGCACACCCACUUUACACGGAUGUUCGGCACGUUGUAUCGUCAACGCGAUCGCGAUAAAACUAUGCAGAAACCAGGAAAAGGCGAGCGGAGCACACUGGGCGUCGAAGAGUAGUAGUUACUCUGUACUCCGGACUAUCCUCGGGAAAACGUUACGCACCGAGCGUUGCGAGUGUCGGAGUGACUGACGUUCAGCGGAGUCGGAGAAGUCGCGAGUUGUCGAGUUAGUA
rnacentral:misc_RNA from 1 species